rnacentral:rRNA from 1 species
CCUACGGGAGGCAGCAGUGGGGAAUAUUGGACAAUGGGCGAAAGCCUGAUCCAGCAAUGCCGCGUGAGUGAUGAAGGCCUUAGGGUUGUAAAGCUCUUUUACCCGGGAUGAUGAUGACAGUACCGGGAGAAUAAGCUCCGGCUAACUCCGUGCCAGCAGCCGCGGUAAUACGGAGGGAGCUAGCGUUAUUCGGAAUUACUGGGCGUAAAGCGCACGUAGGCGGCUUUGUAAGUAAGAGGUGAAAGCCUGGUGCUCAACACCAGAACUGCCUUUUAGACUGCAUCGCUUGAAUCCAGGAGAGGUGAGUGGAAUUCCGAGUGUAGAGGUGAAAUUCGUAGAUAUUCGGAAGAACACCAGUGGCGAAGGCGGACUCACUGGACUGGUAUUGACGCUGAGGUGCGAAAGCGUGGGGAGCAAACAGGAUUAGAUACCCUAGGUAGUCCACGCCGUAAACGAUGAUAACUAGCUGUCGGGGCUCUUAGAGCUUCGGUGGCGCAGCUAACGCAUUAAGUUAUCCGCCUGGGGAGUACGGCCGCAAGGUUAAAACUCAAAAGUAGUAGUAGGACGUCGAGACGAGUCGAACGAGACCACGACGGGAGGUAGAGG